rnacentral:rRNA from 1 species
CCUACGGGUGGCAGCAGUGGGGAAUAUUGGACAAUGGGGGAAACCCUGAUCCAGCGACGCCGCGUGAGUGAAGAAGUAUUUCGGUACGUAAAGCUCUAUCAGCAGGAAAGAAAAUGACGGUACCUUACUAAGAAGCCCCGGCCAACUACGUGCCAGAGGCCGCGGUAAAACGUAGGGGGCAAGGUUUAUCCGGGUUUACUGGGUGUAAAGGGAUCGUUGACGGCAGGGCAGGACUGGAGUGAAAUGCCGGGGCACAACGCCGGAACUGCUCGGGAUACUGUGAAGCUGGAGUGCAGGAGAGGUGAGAGGAAUGCCUGGUGUAGCGGUGAAAUGCGUAGAUAGCAGGCGGAACACCGGCGGCGAAGGCGGCUUACUGGACUGUAACUGACGUUGAGGCUCGAAGGCGUGGGGAGCAAACAGGAUUAGAUACCCUAGUAGUC